AAGUCAACAAAACGGAUUCGUAACUUUGAAAAAACUAUUGGGUUUUAGGUCUAGGCCUUGGGUUCUAUGUCCUCAACCCGUGGUCUAUCGGCAAUAUUCUUGAGUUGCUAUUACGGUGAGGGUGGGAAUUCACGUGUCGAUUGGGCUACAGACAUAGAAUGUCCCCUCGCGAGGGCUUGUCCCUAGGCAACGAAUAGUUGACUCAUAACUGGUACGGACAAGGGGAAUAUGAUUGUUUUAAUUAAAACAAAGCAUUGUGAUGGUCCCUGCAGAUGUUGACACGUUUUUUAUUUUUGACUAGUGCUCUUAAACCAAAUGUUAUGAAGAAACACCAUAAAAAUGAUAAAAAAAAUCAAUGAAUAACAGUCCACUUCGAGGGUAAACCUCCUUUGACAAUAGAACAAUGUACAAUAAUGAUAUCAUCCUAAGAUUAGGUCUCCUUGGUAUAAAAAAUCAAUGAAGAAUAGUCCACUUCGAGGGUAAGCCUCCUUUGAAAAUAGAACAAUGUACAACAAUGAUAUCAUCCUAAGAU
rnacentral:ncRNA from 1 species